rnacentral:rRNA from 1 species
CAGCAGCCGCGGUAAUACGGAGGGUGCGAGCGUUAAUCGGAAUAACUGGGCGUAAAGGGCACGCAGGCGGUGACUUAAGUGAGGUGUGAAAGCCCCGGGCUUAACCUGGGAAUUGCAUUUCAUACUGGGUCGCUAGAGUACUUUAGGGAGGGGUAGAAUUCCACGUGUAGCGGUGAAAUGCGUAGAGAUGUGGAGGAAUACCGAAGGCGAAGGCAGCCCCUUGGGAAUGUACUGACGCUCAUGUGCGAAAGCGUGGGGAGCAAACAGGAUUAGAUACCCCCGUAGUCCCUGUCUCUUAUAC